UGUGCUGAUUUAACAUCCAUUCUGCAGCCCAUGGAGCAAGGAGUAAUUUUCAUUUUCAAUCUUAUUAUUUAAGAAAUUUUAUAAGGCUAUAGCUGCCAUAGGGACAAUGAUUUCUCUGAUGGAUUUGGGCAAAGUAAACUUAAAACUUGCAGGAAAUAAUUCGCCAUUUUAGAUGCCACUAAGAACAUUUAUGAUUCAUGGGAGGAGAUCAAAACCUCAACAUUAACAGGAGUUUGGAAGAAGCUGAUUCCAGUCCUCAUGGAUUACUUUGAAGAGUUCAAGACUUACAUGGAGAAGACUUCCCAUGAAGAAGGCUUUCCACGGAGAAGAUGCAGUUUGAAGAGGAUGAAGUCAAAGAGACUUUUAAAGAAAAUGUAUCCCCAAACAUUGGCUUUUGUGACUCCCACCAUCAUGAGUGACCUGUGGAUCAUGCACAAGGUGGUGACUAACUUCUGCAACUCUAAGAUUUCAUUUUAGCAACCUUUUCUUCCCAGUUUCCAAUAUCUAGAAUCUGAUGUUCUAUCUAGGAAUGGUAUGCCUACGUUAUAUUUUGCAACAUUCUGUGGCUCGAUGUUUUAAAAUAAAAAGCUUUUGAAAGUCAAUUGUAUUUCUAUACACUGGAAAUGCAAAAAUGAAAUGUAACCAAAAGAAAAGCACUAAAACAAUGAUACAUGGAACAAUAUCAAAAAAGAAUAAUAAUAUCAGCACUUAGUGGUAUAAAUUUUCCUCUCAGUAUUCCUUUUGCUUUGUCCUCUGAAUUUUGGUAUAUUAUAUUUUCAUUUUAAUUCAGUUCAAUGUAUUUUUUAUUUCAUUUGAAUUUUGUUUCUAUGACCAUGUCUUAUUUAUAAGUGAUUUGGAUUGUUUCCAAGUGUUUGGAGAUUUUCUUAUCUUUCUAUUCUUGCUUUGUUGUCUGAAUGAAUCACAGCUAGAGAACAUCUUCCAUAUGAUUUCAAUUAUUUUACAUUUUUUUAGUUUGUUUUCAAAGCUGUACAGUUUUAUUUUGAUGGCUUGUGGCAAAUGUCAUACAAUUUUAAUAUUGUUUUUUACUUUUAUUUUAAGUUCAGGGGUACAUGUGCAGGUUUGUUACAUAGGUAAACUUGUGUCAAGGGGGUUUGUUGUAUAGAUUAUUUCAUCACACAGGUAUUAAUCCUAGUACCCAUUAGUUAUUUUUCCUGAUCCCCUCACUCUUCCUACCCUUCAUCCUCCCAUAGGACCCAAUGUCUGUUGUUCCUCUUUAUGUGUCCACUUGUUCUCUUCAUUUAGCUUCCACUUAGAGAACAUGUGGUAUUUGGUUUUCUGUAACUGUAUUUGCCAAGGAUAAUGGCCUCCAGCUCCAUCCAUGUCCCUGCAAAGGACAUGAUCUCUUACUUUUUUAUGGCUACAUAGUAUUCCAUGGUGUACAUGUACCACAUUUCUUUAUCCAGUCUAUCAUUAAUGGACAUUUAGGUUGUUGUGUUAUGUUUCAGGAUAUAACCUAUCUUGAUAAAGGUUCUGUGGGUGUUUGAAAGGGAUGUGCAUUCUCAUGUCAUUGAUGGAGUGUCCUACAAAUGUCAAUUAGGUCAUGUUGGUUGUUAGUGUUGUUGAAUUCUUCUAUAUACUUAAGGAACUAUUUCUAUUAAUUGUGUAAAGAGGCAUGUUGAAGUAUCUAAUUAUAAUUGUAGAUUUGUCUAUUCUUUCAGUCUUAUCAGUUUUCAUUUCACAUAAUUUGUAACUCACUUGUUUGGUACAUUCAUAUUUAGAAUUGCUAUGGCUUGUCCCUUUUAUCAUUGUGUUAUAUCUUACUCUGUCCCUGGUAAUUUUCUUUGCUCUGAAUAUACCUGAUAUUAAAACAGUUACUCUAACAUCUUUUUGAUUAAUGUCUGCAUGGUGCAUCGUAUUUCAUCUUUUUAUUUUCACACACUUGUGUCGUUAUAUUUGAAUUGAGUUUCUUAUAGAUAGCAUGUAAAAGGUCAAUUUUUUCUACUUUGCGAAUCUCUGUCUUGAAAUUGGUGAAUUUAAACCAUUUAUAUCUAAAGUAAUAUUGAUAUGUUAGGAUUAAGUCACCUAUUUUAUUUUUGAUUUUGGUUUCUUCCCUCAUUUUUAAUUUGUUCUAUUUUCCCUACUAUCCUGUGGGUGACUGUAAUAUUUUUUUAGAAUUUUAUUUUGAUCUAUCUAUAGAGUUUUUGGUGUAUCUCUUUCUACAGGUUUCUUGGUGGUCAUUCUAGGUAUUACAUUAUGUAACCAGUUUACCAGUUCAAGUAUAGUAUAGAAAUCUUAUUCUUUCAGUCUCUUUAUCCUCCCAUACUUUAAAUACAAAAUUGUCUUAACUAUUUAUGUACAUUGGGUACAACAAUAAACAAUGCAAUAAUGUUUGCUUUAACUGUCAAAUUCAAUUUGGAAAACUCAGGAGAAAUAAAGGCUAUUGUAUUUACACAUAUUUUUCUUUUUAUUUUUUUUUCUUUUGGUGUUCUAGGAUUCUCAACAUUUUUAAUGUUUAUUGUUUUGUCUUCAAGUUUACUGCUUCUUCCCUCUGUCCUC
rnacentral:lncRNA from 10 species